GGGCCGUUAGCUCAAUGGAUAGAGCAAGUACCUUCUAAGUACUCGACGAAGGUUCGACUCCUUCACGGCCUA
rnacentral:tRNA from 1 species